CGGCGGACGGGUGAGUAACACGUGGAUAACCUACCUAUAAGACUGGGAUAACUUCGGGAAACCGGAGCUAAUACCGGAUAAUAUAUUGAACCGCAUGGUUCAAUAGUGAAAGACGGUUUUGCUGUCACUUAUAGAUGGAUCCGCGCCGCAUUAACUAGUUGGUAAGGUAACGGCUUACCAAGGCAGCGAUGCGUAGCCGACCUGAGAGGGUGAUCGGCCACACUGGAACUGANACACGGUCCAGACUCCUACGGGAGGCAGCAGGG
rnacentral:rRNA from 1 species